rnacentral:rRNA from 1 species
CGACCGGCGCACGGGUGAGUAACGCGUAUCCAACCUUCCCAUUACUGUGGGAUAACCUGCCGAAAGGCAGACUAAUACCGCAUAGUCUUCGAUGACGGCAUCAGAUUUGAAGUAAAGAUUUAUCGGUAAUGGAUGGGGAUGCGUCUGAUUAGCUUGUUGGCGGGGUAACGGCCCACCAAGGCGACGAUCAGUAGGGGUUCUGAGAGGAAGGUCCCCCACAUUGGAACUGAGACACGGUCCAA